GCCAGUGUGGUGUAGUGGUUAGAGUGUCCGACUAGGACCUGGGAGACCAGGGUUCAAAUACCUACUCUGCCA